rnacentral:lncRNA from 1 species
UGAUAUUCGGUGUUAGUUCUUGUUGAAAUGUGUGUAUUUAAUUAGUAGAGUUUUUUUUUGUUUGUCGAGGAAUUUAAUUAGAAUUAAAGAUGAGAAACAUGUAAAUGUUACCUAUCGCCGAGGGAAUUCAUGAAAGUAAUACUUACAAGAGAUAAUAUUUGGGUGAUAUUGUGGUGUUAAUGCGAGUUGCAUUGAUCAAACACAGUGUGUAAGGUGUCACCAUUUAUUUAAAAAUAUUACAAAAGAAAUAAAAAGUAUAUAUGAAAGUUAGAGAUAAAAACCACUUAUUAUAUUGUGGUUGACCAAUGAUGUCUUGACCAAUGUUACUCAAAUGUUGUUUGUUCAACAUAUUUUCUCGUUGAGAAAUGAUAUUUGAACAACCACUUUUAGACAACUUUUGUGACAACUCUCUCUCUCAUACACUCAUUAUACUUUUAUUUUCUCUCUUCCUUUCUCUCUCUAUUAUUAUUGUCCAAUAAAAAGGAAGAAAAAAGAUUAUCCCUAAAAAUUAUUUAAAAUUGGUUGUUAAAAUAUCAUUCCUCUUUCUCGUUAUGGCUACUUAUAGUUGUUGUAUAAGUAAUGUUUAUCCCGGUUGAAUUACCACAUGCCACUUUCUUGCUACUUCUCUUAGCCAUAAAAUUCAACUUCUAUGGAAUUCUAAACAAAAUUAUAGCCCUAUAUUAAAUACAUUAUUUUGUGACAACAAUUAGAAUAAUAAUAUUUGUACAACUCUCAUAAUUAAAAAGAUAUUUAUAUAAUUAUUUUAUGACAAUUUUUGGGACAAUCAUAUUGUUCUUCUCACUUUUUUUAGAACAAAAACAAUAGACAAUGAGUGAAAAAGAGAGUAAAGACACAAUAAAAUAUGAGAGAGUUGUUCCAAAAAUUUACUCAAAAUGAUAGUACAAAUGUCAUUUGAACAUGCUUUUGUUUGUACGAAACUAAGAUAAGAUGAGAUGUUUUAUCUCUUAAUAUAACUAGAAUUUAUUUAACUGCAUCGACACCGUUAAAAUAUUCGAUAACAUAUCUAUUGUCUAAAGAAAACUUGACCUAAUUAUCUCACCUAUCAGGAAACUUGGCAAUGUGAAGGAUCAAAAUCGUCUAUUUGGAAGGUACCACCAUGUAUACCAAAUGACCUUGUCCUUGAGCUACUUUUUUUUUGAAAACAAAAAAAAAAUAUUCAUUCAUUCAAAUUGAUAGAGUAUAUCGAGACAAUAAAAAAAGAUGAAUAUACGAACCAACUCAUAACAUUCAUGUUAAUAGCAUAAAACGGAGUACAUAUGUAUACAAACAUGAAUAUAUUUAAGCCACCGAUAUACUCAUAUUUUCGGAUUCGUAAUGUUGUGACACAAAAGUCAUUGAUUGAAUUUGUAAUUGAUAAAACUAACCUUUCAACCUGAAUCAAAUAAACACCGCACGAAGACCGAAAAUAAAAAAUACACCACACAAAGACGGGAGAUAAAAAUAAUCAACGUCGUGCUAGACAACGAAAUCACAAAAUCAACGAAAGAAAACUGAAAUUAUGUAAAAAAUCACUUAUUUAGCUAAAAGAGAAAGAAAAACAAUUCGGAAGGGUGAUUUCGGGUCAAAAUUGACGAUGAAUCACCUCUCUUUAAUGGAAAGAAAGAAAGAAAAAAAAAGUUGUGACGAUUAUAUAUUUUGAAAGGAAAAAGUUUGAGAGGAGAGAAAAGUUAUGUUUAUGUCAUGGUUAUAUGUUGUUAACACGUAAAUUUUAAUAACU